GGCCCUUCGGGGUACACGAGCGGCGAACGGGUGAGUAACACGUGGGUGAUCUGCCUCGCACUCUGGGAUAAGCCUGGGAAACUGGGUCUAAUACCGGAUAUGACCUUACAUCGCAUGGUGUUUGGUGGAAAGAUUUAUCGGUGCGAGAUGGGCCCGCGGCCUAUCAGCUUGUUGGUGGGGUAAUGGCCUACCAAGGCGACGACGGGUAGCCGGCCUGAGAGGGCGACCGGCCACACUGGGACUGAGACACGGCCCAGACUCCUACGGGAGGCAGCAGUGGGGAAUAUUGCACAAUGGGCGAAAGCCUGAUGCAGCGACGCCGCGUGAGGGAUGACGGCCUUCGGGUUGUAAACCUCUUUCGACAGGGACGAAGCGCAAGUGACGGUACCUGUAGAAGAAGCACCGGCCAACUACGUGCCAGCAGCC
rnacentral:rRNA from 1 species